UACGGAGGGUGCAAGCGUUAUCCGGAUUCACUGGGUUUAAAGGGUGCGUAGGCGGGCAGGUAAGUCCGUGGUGAAAUCUCUGAGCUUAACUCAGAAACUGCCAUGGAUACUAUUUGUCUUGAAUAUUGUGGAGGUCAGCGGAAUAUGUCAUGUAGCGGUGAAAUGCCUAGAUAUGACAUAGAACACCAAUUGCGAAGGCAGCUGGCUACACAGUUAUUGACGCUGGGGCACGAAAGCGUGGGGAUCAAACAGG
rnacentral:rRNA from 1 species